UUGCAUUGACCUUAUAUUUAGUUUACUCAACAUAUUAUUGUUCAGUUACAUAUUUAUUUACUUGUUCAUUGUAUUAAUUUACAUUCCUCAGUUCCAUGUUAAGUUUAUCCUCUUAUGUUUAGUUUAUGUAGAAUAAUGCGUAUCUCAUAUGUUUGGUAUAUUUAUAGUACUGACUACAUACUUUCAUUUGCACUAUAUUGUAUUAUAAUAUAGAUUCAAAUGCUCA
rnacentral:lncRNA from 1 species